rnacentral:rRNA from 1 species
GACGAACCGUGCGAACGUUGUUCGGAAUCACUGGGCUUAAAGGGCGCGUAGGCGGGUUCGCAAGUCUGUGGUGAAAGCCUCCAGCUUAACUGGAGAAGUGCCAUGGAUACUGCGCAUCUUGAGGAGGGUAGGGGCGUCUGGAACGGUCGGUGGAGCGGUGAAAUGCGUUGAUAUCGACCGGGAACUCCGGUGGCGAAGGCGAGGCGCUGGACCCUUUCUGACGCUGAGGCGCGAAAGCCAGGGGAGCAAACGGG